UAGGUGACCUGCGGAGGAUCAUUCAUAAUAAGUGUUUUAUGGCACUUUUUAAAAUCCAUAUCCACCUUGUGUGCAAUGUCAGUUAUUCCUUGCGAAUAACUAAACAUCAACCUAACUUAACCUAUAGUCUGAAAAAUAUUAUGAAUAACUAAUUCAAAAUACAACUUUCAACAACGGAUCUCUUGGCUCUCGCAUCGAUGAAGAACGCAGCGAAAUGCGAUACGUAAUGUGAAUUGCAGAAUUCAGUGAAUCAUCGAAUCUUUGAACGCAUAUUGCGCUCUUUGGUAUUCCGAAGAGCAUGCUUGUUUGAGUAUCAGUAAACACCUCAAACCUCUUGGUUUUUUCCAAGAGUUUUGGACUUGAGCAAACCCAACACCUUUUCUCACGAUUCGGUGGCGGGUUGCUUGAAAUGCAGGUGCAGCUGGACAUUCUCCUGAGCUAAAAGCAUAUCUAUUUAGUCCCGUCAAACGGAUUAUUACUUUUGCUGCAGCUAACAUAAAGGGAGUUUGACCGUAUUGGCUGACUGAUGCAGGAUUUCACAGAGUCGGAAACGAUUCUGUCAAACUCGAUCUCAAAUCAAGUAAGACUACCCGCUGAACUUAAGCAUAUCAAUAAGCGGAGGAAAAGAAACUAACAAGGAUUCCCCUAGUAACGGCGAGUGAAGCGGGAUGAGCUCAAAUUUAAAAUCUGGCUGGUUUACUAGUCCGAAUUGUAGUUUAUAGAAGCGUUUUCGGUGGCAGCCUGGGUAUAAAUCCUUUGGAAUAGGGUAUCAUAGAGGGUGAGAAUCCCGUCUUUGACUCAGUGCAUGCUACUAUGUGAUACGUUUUCAAAGAGUCGAGUUGUUUGGGAAUGCAGCUCAAAAUGGGAGGUAAAUUUCUUCUAAAGCUAAAUACCGGCGAGAGACCGAUAGCGAACAAGUACCGUGAGGGAAAGAUGAAAAGAACUUUGAAAAGAGAGUUAAACAGUGCGUGAAAUUGUUGAAAGGGAAACGUUUGACACCAGUUAUGCGGGUGGAAAAUCAAUCUUUUGCAAUGGCAAGCUGUGGGCGUUCAGACCGCAAGGCUGGCGUUUGCUUCAUUGUUGUUGUAAGUGAUGCACUUUUUCAUUUGCAGGUCAACAUCAGUUUGUUUCGCUGGACAAAACCCCAAGGGAAGGUGGCAGCUUAGGCUGUGUUAUAGCCCUGGGGCGAUACAGUGGAAUGGACUGAGGUUUUCGCAGCGUGUGCUUUCGGGCAAGGUCGACUGGGUGCUAUGGGAUCGUUUGGCGUACAAUGCAUGCAUUUUGCGCUUCGUCUUUUUCAUACUCGCUCAAAUCGUCUCUCCACGCUAGG
rnacentral:rRNA from 1 species